CUUCCCUUCUCUGGUAAAUCUUACAACAAACACUUUUAUCUUGGGUAUUUCUGAAAAUUUACAACACAAUCCUAAGAAUUUAGGGGAUUUCCUUGUGAAAGUAUGAAGAAUAAUCUGAUCAGCGUUAGUAUUUUGGGUACAUUCAAUAAAAUGAUCAAGGAAAUCCUAUACAAUAUCUACGAUUUUCUGGAAGAAAUAGGAGAGAAGCCCUGAGCAAUGUGGGCUCCUUGUAUAGAAAUGGAUUUGUAUUAUUUGUAUAAACAAAUAAAAUAAAUAAGCUUUUCAUAUUUUAUAGACCAUAUUAUACACGAUAAGGCGAUGAAGUCCUGUGCCAAAAUAGUCGGUCAAAUCAAAGACAGCAAUAGGCCAUGCAGAAAGCGUAAGAAGGCAACGCCAGCAAUUCCAUUACCAAAGAACACUUCAGCAGUACCUGGGCCAUAUACUCAGCGAGAUUUGAAAUCGUCUGAAUCUACUCAUACAUCUAUCUAUCGUCUAAAUCGUAAGCUGUGUAAGGUGAUCAACGAUUCCUGCUUCUUUUGUAAUUCAUUAUAAUGUAAAUAUUUUUUCAAUCACGUCAAUAUUUUUUAUAUAUGUAUCUGAACAUUAAAUUAAUUUGAAGUUUAAUUAGAUUAUUUUUUAAAAUUAAAUGUAUUAUUUUUUUUUUAAUUUUAUUAAAAAAGUGAAGUUAAUACAUGAAAUAAAAUGUUCUCUGCUAUAUA